rnacentral:rRNA from 1 species
CCCUUAGAUGUUCUGGGCUGCACGCGUGCUACACUGAUAUUGCCAAUAUGUCAUUCUUAUCCGAAAUGGAUUGGGUAAUCAAGUAAUGAAAUUUCAUGCUUGGAAUCGGUAAUUGCAAUCUUAUCGUGAACGAGGAAUUCCUAGUAAGCACUAGUCAUCAGCUAAUGUUGAUUAUGUCCCUGCCCUUUGUACACACCGCCCGUCGCUACUACUGAUUGGGUGUUCAAGUGAGAUGCUUAGACCCUUGUUGCAUGGUUCAUUAUUGUGCUCCGAAAGGAAAAAGUUUCAAGCUUGAGUGUCUAGAGGAAGUAAAAGUCGUAACA